AAUCACCUACACCGGUAGCAGCCUGAAGACCUAAUGGAUUUUGCCUCUUCUCAUCAUCUCAAUGGACUCCUCAGCUAAUUUAACACUCGAUCACUGGAACACACAGUACAGUUGCUUACCGACCAUCAUGAACAGAAGUGAAAUCACCAUGCAGAUUUUGAGCCCCUCAAGGAACAGGAUCCAUGUCUAAAUCCCACUUCUAUAGUCUUUCCCAGAGUUUAGCACCAUGCCCUGCACAGAACUGUGAGCUCCUUGCAGGCAAAGAAUGUGUUGAUCAUCUCUGUUUUAUCGUAUUCCCCCAAGGACUUAGCAGAGUUCUCGGCAAACGGUAAGAGCUCAGUAAAUACCUCUGAUUGAUUGAUUGAUUGAUUCACAACCUUCAUCUGGAGAGUCCUUAGAUAUCCUUGACAGUAGAUAUCUCUGGGUCUGAGCUGGCUAAAGAUUCUGACAGGCAGUUCAUUAACUGUCCCUCACAAGGUGAUUCUUUCUUGGAUGACUUUGCCAUUUGUGAACACCUCACUGCUUGGAGAUCAUUUUCUCCAAGGCUCAGAAUUUUCCCAAAGCCCCCAUUCUUCAUGUGCUUUUGCUAAUGUUGUUUUUGGGUGACAUUUAUAUUACUCUUUUUAUAUGAAAAAAUAAAUUGGAAUAGAGGGAAGCAACUAAGCG